rnacentral:lncRNA from 1 species
UAUGAUUCUACAAUUCUAUGUUCCCUCGCUUUGUGAUGGAAGGGACAUCUGCACACCUAAAGGUAACUGGACCUCAUGGGAACAUUGGGUCCAACUUGGCUUGGGGUUGGAGAUUCAGGAUCAUUGAGGUUCCUUCCAACCCGAUCUAUUCUGUGAUUCUGUGUUCCUAAUAGUUCUUUAAUAUUUAUGGGUACAAGCUCUGAUUAAGUGGGACUAUGUUGUGAGCGUUGAGAACAUUUUCAAUCUGAAAAAUCCUCCUCAAGAAGAAAUAUUUAGUCAACAAAAUAUCCUUCAUAAAGGAGUACUACAAAAUCUUUUGACUUUCCAUAAUAGGAGUGAAAACUUCCAAAUCAGCUAUUGCAUCAGUUGGAUCUCCUCUUUGAUGCUGUCCUUAUAGAGCAAAAGGCUCAGUUUCUGGGAAAACUCUAUUUGUUCUCCAGGGCUAUGCUUGUGUUCCUCUUCCCUCUUCAUGUCAAUGAAGGUCACAUGCAGAGAAUUUAUGAGCUCCACCACAGAGCCCUGCCAUGCAGCUGGAUGCAGAGAGAAAGAAAAAUGCUCAUUUUCAGCUGCAAGAGUGAGCAGAUCCGAAAUGAGAUCCAGCCCCCAGAUACCUGCAGCUGGUGAAGGACUGGGAGCUCACAGGAUGGGGCGAUGCUGA